GCAAGUCGAGGGGUAACAUUAGUGCUUGCACUAGAUGACGACUGGCGCACGGGUGCGUAACGAGUAUAGAAUAUUCCUUUUACAGGGGGAUAGCCUUUAGAAAUGAAGAUUAAUAUCCCAUAGUAUUGCGAAGUGGCAUCACUUUGUAAUUAAAGAUUUAUCGGUAAAAGAUGACUAUGCGUCCUAUUAGUUAGUUGGUAAGGUAACGGCUUACCAAGACUUCGAUAGGUAGGGGGCCUGAGAGGGAGAUC
rnacentral:rRNA from 1 species